AAUAGAUACCCAGGUAGUCCACGCCGUAAACGGUGAGUGCUAAGUGUUGGGGGUUUCCGCCCCUCAGUGCUGCAGCUAACGCAUUAAGCACUCCGCCUGGGGAGUACGGUCGCAAGACUGAAACUCAAAGGAAUUGACGGGGGCCCGCACAAGCGGUGGAGCAUGUGGUUUAAUUCGAAGCAACGCGAAGAACCUUACCAGGUCUUGACAUCCCGGUGACCACUAUGGAGACAUAGUUUCCCCUUCGGGGCAACGGUGACAGGUGGUGCAUGGUUGUCGUCAGCUCGUGUCGUGAGAUGUUGGGUUAAGUCCCGCAACGAGCGCAACCCUUAUUCUUAGUUGCCAUCAUUCAGUUGGGCACUCUAAGGAGACUGCCGGUGAUAAACCGGAGGAAGGUGGGGAUGACGUCAAAUCAUCAUGCCCCUUAUGACCUGGGCUACACACGUGCUACAAUGGACGGUACAAACGGUUGCCAACCCGCGAGGGGAGCUAAUCCGAUAAAACCGUUCUCAGUUCGGAUUGUAGGCUGCAACUCGCCUACA
rnacentral:rRNA from 1 species